CAAACGAAAAGGCAAAGUCACUGAAAGGUGAUGACGCAAAACAGAGGGGCUAAAGUCUUAGUACCAAGCCGGCCCUGUUACCGAA
rnacentral:ncRNA from 1 species